rnacentral:sRNA from 1 species
UAUUGAACAACGCAAAACCAACGUUCACGUUUCUCCCCCACUAAUUGAUGCGAGGCGCCGCGCGUUCUCGUGCGAGCGCCCACGACCACCGAUCGCGAGGAACACAGAAUGGAGAACAGACACCAGCGCGCAAUCUUGGGUGCGGUGCUUCCCUCUCAAUAUGGGGAGGAUCGCAAUGAUUGACCGUACAU